GGACAAUGAUGAAAAACACGAACAAAAUACACCAUCUUUCGGGACUGAUUGGCACGCUUUGCGUGCCAUGCUGUCAAAUCUGCAAUUCUGAUGUCC
rnacentral:snoRNA from 1 species